ACAUUUUAAACGGUCUAUACCAGGGGUUCUCAAACUUCAUUGCACCGCGACCCCCUUCUGACAAUAAAAAUUACUUCAUAACCCUAGGAGGGGGGACCGAA